GAAACCCUGCAAGAGCUGGUCUCUGAGAAUUCUGUGAGGAGCCAGAAAUGGAAGCCAAAUGUUGGUGUCAGGUAGAGGAAGCUGGACCUGGUUUUGUCAGGGCUGUCAGUUUUUCCAGGGCAGGGGCCAUGACCCACCCUGAGGCCCGGAGGACCCUGUGCAGCAUCAGCCAAUGUCCUGUUGAGUGACGGCAGGGCCCAGGAAAUUUCCAGAGCGAAGGGGAGCCACAUCUUCCCCAUCGGGUCCUUUCAGAUCUUCCCUGAGGCUUGGGAAAGGGGCAGUCUUUGCAUCUGGACUCUAUAUUUACACGUUUUCAAGGCCCACGGAAUUUUGCAGACUUAAGUUUGGACCACAAAAGCUCACUUCUGCAGUUUUAAGAUUAAAAAGUAAAACC
rnacentral:lncRNA from 1 species